AUGGAGCUGGCUGUAUUCAAGUUUCCCAGCUUUUAUUGGGGUCUCCCCAGUAAUUUUCCUGCCACCCCCAACAACAAUUUAGGAUGUAAAGACAGAGGUAAAUCUACAAGUAAGAGGCAGCACUCGCUCUUGUUGAACAUCUUUCAUAAUCUUUUUCCAGAGAACUGUAAACAAAUCUUAUUGCUGACUAGCAUCUUCGCUUGCAUCCAUGCUUUCCUUAUCUUCAUCUUCCAUACCGUGUGUGUGUACACAGACAAACUUGGGAUGUUUUUCUUCACCCCUUCUCUUGGAUUAUGUCCAGCAUAGUUUCUUUAGAGGGGAGACUGUCACGGCAUACCUUUGCACUUAAGUUUGUUUUGCCUUUAUAUUCAGAUUUCACUUCAACAAGCUACUGGGUAAAUUGGGCCUAUAUAAUCUAGUUUGCCUGUUAUAGCUGUCUAAUUUAAAAACAAAACCAAAAAGUUAAGUAUUAAGAGGAGAAAAUAAGUGUGAAUAUAGUUGUAUACAUAUAAAAUAUACUGGAAGUGACUCUUAUGUGGUCUCUAAAAUAUCAGUAGCUAGAUAGCUGUAUAAAAACUUGUGUUGCUGCAGGUUCCUGUAUAUUUACACUGGCAAAUCUUGUUUUAAAUCUUGUUUUAGUUGACACUUCUUUACCAACUUACCCUUCUGGCAGAGACCAUCCUGCAGUGUUACUGUAGGAGCAAACAGAGAAAAGAAGAGGAAAAUGCCACAAGCUUUCCCCGUUUGUGGUCUGCUGAACUGUUCUGUUCUUACAGAUAGCCCUGUUAAUUUAAGAAAAUUAUUUUAUCCCAUGAACUCAUUAGAAAACUCCUUACAGUGGAAGGGAACACUUGGAUCUGGUCUAUGUAAGUAGCUUUUCUUCUAAUAAUUUGGUGUAAGAAUGUCAUUUGUGUUAUCUAAGGAACCAGUAAAAGUACUAUACAUAUUGAAAAUGCUGCUAAUAUUUUGUGUAAGAAAAAGAUGCACGGGAGAGAUGUGAAGUCCAAGUCCCUCACCUACGUCUUCCAAUAAAAUAGCUUGGUCAGUUUAGGCUGGAGGCA
rnacentral:lncRNA from 1 species